CAGAGGUGGCAAGCGUUGUUCGGAAUUACUGGGCGUAAAGGGCGAGUAGGCGGCCUUCUAAGUCAGACGUGAAAUCCCCCGGCUUAACCUGGGAACUGCGUCUGAUACUGGGAGGCUCGAGUAUGGGAGAGGGAGGUAGAAUUCCAGGUGUAGCGGUGAAAUGCGUAGAUAUCUGGAGGAAUACCGGUGGCGAAGGCGGCCUCCUGGACCAUAACUGACGCUGAUCCGCGAAAGCUAGGGGAGCAAACGGGAUUAGAUACCCCGGUAGUCCUAGCCCUAAACGAUGAAUACUUGGUGUGGCGGGUAUCGAUCCCUGCCGUGCCGAAGCUAACGCAUUAAGUAUUCCGCCUGGGGAGUACGGUCGCAAGGCUG
rnacentral:rRNA from 1 species